rnacentral:rRNA from 1 species
GAUGAACGCUGGCGGCGUGCCUAAUACAUGCAAGUCGAGCGAACAGAUAAGGAGCUUGCUCCUUUGACGUUAGCGGCGGACGGGUGAGUAACACGUGGGUAACCUACCUAUAAGACUGGAAUAACUCCGGGAAACCGGGGCUAAUGCCGGAUAACAUUUAGAACCGCAUGGUUCUAAAGUGAAAGAUGGUUUUGCUAUCACUUAUAGAUGGACCCGCGCCGUAUUAGCUAGUUGGUAAGGUAACGGCUUACCAAGGCAACGAUACGUAGCCGACCUGAGAGGGUGAUCGGCCACACUGGAACUGAGACACGGUCCAGACUCCUACGGGAGGCAGCAGUAGGGAAUCUUCCGCAAUGGGCGAAAGCAUGACGGAGCAACGCCGCGUGAGUGAUGAAGGUCUUCGGAUCGUAAAACUCUGUUAUUAGGGAAGAACAAAUGUGUAAGUAACUGUGCACGUCUUGACGGUACCUAAUCAGAAAGCCACGGCUAACUACGUG